rnacentral:rRNA from 1 species
AUUGAACGCUAGCGGGAUGCUUUACACAUGCAAGUCGAACGAGUGGCGGACGGGUGAGUAAUAUAUCGGAACGUGCCCAGUAGCGGGGGAUAACUACUGGAAACGGUAGCUAAUACCGCAUACCAUCGGAUGUGCCCAGAUGGGAUUAGCUAGUAGGUGGGGUAAAGGCUCACCUAGGCGACGCUCCCUAGCUGGUCUGAGAGGAGAACCAGCCAAAAUGGAACUCAGACACGGUCCAGAAUCCUACGGGAGGCAGCAGUGGGGAAUAUUGCACAAUGGGCGCAAGCCUGAUGCAGCCAUGCCGCGUGUAUGAAGAAGGCCUUCGGGUUGUAAAGUACUUUCAGCGGGGAGGCGUUACCCGCAGAAGAAGCACCGGCUAACUCCGUGCCAGCAGCCGCGGUAAUUC